AAAGCUUCCCAUGCUGCCGCAUCGGACCUGACGUCAGCAUGCUACUUCUCCAAUUGGCCUUGAAAUCACAUUGCACCUGCUGGCGCUAGUGAUCUGCGGGACAUAAGGGAUGAGCAAAAAAGGAGGACUGAACCCCCUUUCCUUGAGAAAAAGAUGCUAAACCCAAGAACUGGAAAUGCAGAGAUUGUAAUUUCUUCAAAUACACAAUAAACUUCAG